UUUUUUUUUUUUUUAUUACAUGAGACUAUUGCUCAGAUUACAACUCAUAUUACAUGAGAAUAUAACUGAUAUGUACAAAUCAGACUAUAACUGGGACCAACAUACAUCAAAUCUAAUGGAGCGCUGCCCAGAUUUUAACCCUCUCAAAUAUUCGAGGGAUGUCUACUCCUCGCACUGGGGUAAGGAAACAGACUGCCUUCACUCAAUUUUAUUUGAGGAAGGAAACA
rnacentral:lncRNA from 1 species